CUGGCGGCGUGCUUAACACAUGCAAGUCGAACGAUGAAGCCCAGCUUGCUGGGUGGAUUAGUGGCGAACGGGUGAGUAACACGUGAGCAACCUGCCCCUCACUCUGGGAUAAGCGCUGGAAACGGCGUCUAAUACUGGAUACGAGUUGGAACCGCAUGGUUACCAACUGGAAAGAUUUUUUGGUGGGGGAUGGGCUCGCGGCCUAUCAGCUUGUUGGUGAGGUAAUGGCUCACCAAGGCGUCGACGGGUAGCCGGCCUGAGAGGGUGACCGGCCACACUGGGACUGAGACACGGCCCAGACUCCUACGGGAGGCAGCAGUGGGGAAUAUUGCACAAUGGGCGGAAGCCUGAUGCAGCAACGCCGCGUGAGGGAUGACGGCCUUCGGGUUGUAAACCUCUUUUAGCAGGGAAGAAGCGAGAGUGACGGUACCUGCAGAAAAAGCACCGGCUAACUACGUGCCAGCAGCCGCGGUAAUACGUAGGGUGCAAGCGUUAUCCGGAAUUAUUGGGCGUAAAGAGCUCGUAGGCGGUUUGUCGCGUCUGCUGUGAAAUCCCGAGGCUCAACCUCGGGCCUGCAGUGGGUACGGGCAGACUAGAGUGCGGUAGGGGAGAUUGGAAUUCCUGGUGUAGCGGUGGAAUGCGCAGAUAUCAGGAGGAACACCGAUGGCGAAGGCAGAUCUCUGGGCCGUAACUGACGCUGAGGAGCGAAAGGGUGGGGAGCAAACAGGCUUAGAUACCCUGGUAGUCCACCCCGUAAACGUUGGGAACUAGUUGUGGGGUCCUUUCCACGGAUUCCGUGACGCAGCUAACGCAUUAAGUUCCCCGCCUGGGGAGUACGGCCGCAAGGCUAAAACUCAAAGGAAUUGACGGGGACCCGCACAAGCGGCGGAGCAUGCGGAUUAAUUCGAUGCAACGCGAAGAACCUUACCAAGGCUUGACAUACACCAGAACACCGUAGAAAU
rnacentral:rRNA from 1 species